AGUGGCGAACGGGUGAGUAACACGUAGGUAAUCUACCCUCAAGACGGGGACAACCCAGGGAAACUUGGGCUAAUACCGGAUGUGUGUAGUGGCUAUUUUUCUGAUUAUCAUUAUUUACGUAAGUGAGUAAUAAUAAGAAGGGAAAGUGGUUAUUACAUAAAAGGUGGCGUAACUGCCGCUUGGGGAUGAGCCUGCGUCCUAUUAGUUAGUUGGUGAGGUAACGGCUUACCAAGGCGAUGAUAGGUAGGCGGCCUUAACGGGUGGUCGCCCACACUGGGAUUGAGAUACGGCCCAGACUCCUACGGGAGGCAGCAGUCGAGAAUAGUCUACAAUGGACGGAAGUCUGAUAGUGCGACGCCGCGUGAACGAAGAAUCCCUUCGGGGUGUAAAGUUCUUUUAUACGUGAGCAGUGUCCUUUAUAUUAAUAGUAUAAGGGGAGAGAUAUUAGCGUAUGAAUAAGCAACGGCUAACUCCGUGCCAGCAGCCGCGGUAACACGGGGGUUGCGAGCGUUGUCCGGAAUUACUAGGCGUAAAGUGCAGGUAGGCGGAUAAAUAAGUUUAAGGUUAAAGGCUACGGCUUACCCGUAGUAAGGCGUUAGAUACUGUUUAUCUGGAAUGCGGUUGAGGGAGACAGAAUUCCUGGUGUAGCGGUGGAAUGCGCAGAGAUCAGGAGGAAUACCGAAGGCGAAGGCAGUCUUCUAAGCCGAUAUUGACGCUAAACUGCGAAGGUGUGGGAUCAAACAGGAUUAGAUACCCUGGUAGUCCACACAGUAAACGAUAAUCACUAGGUGUUGGGUUCUUAAGAGGAUUCAGUGCCGAAGCUAACGCGAUAAGUGUACCGCCUGGGGAGUACGGUCGCAAGAUUAAAACUCAAAGGAAUUGACGGGGACCCGCACAAGCGGUGGAGCAUGUGGCUUAAUUCGAUGCAACGCGAAGAACCUUACCUGGACUUGACAUGCCAGUGGUAGAACCCUGAAAGGGGGACGAUCCCGCGCAAGCGGGACGCUGGCACAGGUGCUGCAUGGCUGUCGUCAGCUCGUGCCGUGCGGUGUUGGGUUAAGUCCCGCAACGAGCGCAACCCCUGUGGUUAGUUGCCCUUAUUCAGUUAGGCACUCUAGCCAGACUGCCUGUGAUAAGCAGGAGGAAGGUGGGGAUGACGUCAAGUCAGUAUGGUCCUUAUGUCCAGGGCUGCACACGUGCUACAAUGACCAGUACAGAAGGAAGCAAUACCGCGAGGUGGAGCUAAUCCCCAAAACUGGCCUCAGUUCGGAUUGGAGUCUGCAACCCGACUCCAUGAAGCUGGAAUCGCUAGUAACGGCGCAUCAGCUACGGCGCAGUGAAUACGUUCCCGGCC
rnacentral:rRNA from 1 species